UUGUGCUUCAGGAGUGCGAUGGAUAUACACAUGGGGUAAUAUCAAACACUGUAUAGCUGGUAAUAACUCAAGACGAAUACUACCUCAAAUGCUUGCAUGGUUGAAGUUGCACUGCAGAUGAUCAAUUCAAAUCUAAGAACAUUUAAACGACAUCAUUUCAUUGAGCAAUGUGAGUAGUACAUGCACAAACAAGAUGGAGAAGGGGCCUAGCGGUAUACAUGCCAACACGGUACACUUGUGGGAGAUUGAGUACGACGGCUGGUGAUUGGAUCAAAAGUCAGGCUGGUUUGCUUGUCAGAUGUUUGGAACACUGAGUUUUGGAAGUUCAUAUCUGCAGAGGAAUGCCAUGUUUACAUCAUUUGAGAGGCAUGCUUAAGGAUGGAAGUGGUCAGCGAGGGAGGAAUCCUCAAAGAGAGCGGAAUUCUUGGGCAUCUGAGCCAGUGUAAAGAUCUUCGUGAACUGGCAGCAGAUAGAGACUUUAUAAUGCAAUCGCUUGGGCCUUUGGAAACUACGUUCUUGCUUCAAAGCCGAGCUCUAUUUUGAAUGAGUUAAGAACAUAUAAACACCAUCAUUUCAUCGAGGAAUGUGAGUGGGACUUGUGCAAAUGAGAAAGAGAAGGGGCCUAGCAGCUCACGUGCCAACAUGAUGCACUUGUGGGAGACUGGGUUAGGCAGCUAGUGAUUUUUGAACCAAAAAUCAGGCCAAUCUACUUAUCAGGAUCGGAGGCAUACUUAAGGAUGGAAGUGGUUAGUGGGGGAGUGGAUCCUCAAAGAGAGCGGAAUUCUUGGCUAUUAGAACUGGUGUGGAGAUUUUCAGGGUGGACGAAGAUUUUAUAAUGCAAUCGCUUUGGCCUCUGAGAAGUGUAUUCCUGUUUCAAAGUUGAGUGUUAUUUUAAAUAAGUAAAGGUUGAAAUCUUGUAUCUUGGAAAUCUCAUGUGUAGAUGUUGAUAGAUGUCUUAAAAUUUGUAAAUUCAACAGUCAGUUGAUGACAUCGAAGUAGGUUCAAUGCUGACAGUCUAUCGAUGUCAUCGAAGUCCCAUCGA